AAAAAAGGAGAAGAGAACCCAACCGCCCCUGCCUCAACGUGGGUGAUCUUGCUCUUGCUCCUCUCCCCAUCUCUCCCAGUCCUCGUUGAAGCCGCCGCUCUCCCCCUUCAAAACCCUAGCCCUAGCUACUUGCUAGAACCGCCAUCACGCAUUCACGCCCUCCAUCGGAUCCGGGAGCCAUAGCUUCGGGAAGAUUUAACUCUGUAGCCGAAAUCCCACCGCACCGCCCUCAUGGAUCCAUCACCAAGCCGCCACAUCUCUACACCUCGCCACCGGAGCAAGAGGAACCGAAUGGCGAGGAGCCAGACAAAUCUGCGGCGAUCUUAACUGCCGAUACGGAUCGGCGGCACGAGAAUCUCCGAUGCCAACCUCAGUUCGUUAGACCCUGCCUUUUUCCUCUUUGCUCCUUGUGUCUUCCGCUUUUCCUUUUUUUUUUUGCGGAUUCGGUAGCGUGCCCCUUGAUGUUGUUAUACUGCGAGAGAUCACUCGGUUUUUGUGUGGAUCGUUGAUGGUUUGAGGCCCCUGAAUCUAUGAAGUUAGGGUUUCAGCCUGAUUUCUGAACUGAGUACUUGAUUAGUUUUUUUUUCUCUCAUGGGGGAUAUUCUGAUCUGCCAGCCUAAUGAUUAGCAUUGUUUGCACAAGAACGGAGAUCUGAUUCAGCUUCCUCGUCGAAGCCCGCUUGACUGCUGUGGUGGUUCAUGGCAGGUAGGCAAGCUAGACCUCGGCUCGUUGACAGCAGUACUACUCCCACUGAUGUGUUAUGUUUCUGCACAUGCGGACAUAGCACGGCGAAGAUGGGGUGGAUCUGUUCGGCUCGUUGACACACACACACACAUGCAUACAUACAUAUAUACAUAUCUCCUCUGCUGCUCUUCUGCAAUUCCACUGAGCAGGGCAGCAGGCUGAGUGGGCUCCGAGGAAUGCGUGUGUAGAUGCAAAAGUUAUGAAGGCAGCAGAUUGGAAGAAUGCCCUUGUGUUAACUUGUUUAGCGAGUUCAUCACUAAUGCAAAAGUUGUUUUGAUUUUGAAGUACUGCAAUGAAGCUGUGCUGCUUUUGAUUUGUUUGGUGUCGUGCUAAUUGUUUUGUGAUAUCUUACUGGACUGAUAUUUGAGUUGUAAACUUGCAAUGUUUCACCCUAUGGGCAACAUAGGCAGAUAACUAGAAGCAAAGGCAAUUGCAUCUGUGGUGCUCCUGAUUCAUAGGGGCUCAAUGGCAUGGUGACUCUGUCUAUGGGAAUCUCUGAUGCUAAGCUAAUUCCAGUAAUAUAGCUUAUGGAGUGUAUGAGUUUGAUUACUGUUGCACCAUGCUAGUAAUAGGUGUAGGCCUCUUUUAUCAGAUAAUGCAAUUUUUUCUUUAUUUAACUUCUAGACCUCUUAUUUUGGUUUGUUCUUAUAAUAGUUUCUGAUCUCUUGUUGCAAGAUAAGAUAUAAGUUUUUGCAAUGUGGAUUACCACGAUCUGUCAACUUGGGGAACAGAUAUCUACAUCCAUGUCCUAGGAAGCUUCAUAUUACCUGUGCUGGAUCAUGUUAUACUCACUCUGUUCUAAAUAUUCAAACUGAUUCAUAAAUGUUUAAUCACCUCUGGUUCUCAUUCUCAAAGCAGGCUAAGUAGACUCUAGGAAAUGUUUUAUUGAUGCAAACAUUACAAAAGGUUUGGCAGAUUGGAAAAAUGCCUCUACUAGAUUAUAGUUACCGAUUUAACAAGUUCUUGGUUGCUACAAACUUGUUUCUGUGAUACUUGUUACUCUCACUGUGCUCACAACAAGGCUAAUUUGCUUUGUAUUUUGACUGGUACUUUUCUUUUUGAUUUGCCACAUGGGCUGAAAAUGAGCUUGGAUGGUUAUUCUCUGGAAUAUGGCUGUCUAAUUGUGGCAGUAUGCAAGUUGCAUAGUAGAUCAUUUCUCUACACAAGAAAGCCUGGCAGAUGAUGAUAAGAAAUACAAAGACAUCUGCAGUGCUCCUGAUUUAAAUUCAGGACACAAUAGCAUGAUGACUCCGUCUAGGGGAAUCUCUGAUGCUGAUCUAUGUUUUGGUGCCUUAUUUGCUUGCAAGCUUCUGUAUUUUUGUAUGGCUUCAAGUGCUCAUUGGAGGAAUCAUGACUGGUUUGCUAUUUGCAAUAUUUCACCAUUUCAAAUUUGUUGGUGAUGAGAAGACAAGUUCUUUUUUAAUGUUACUGGUGAUACAAUUGCUCUAUGUGGCAUCAACUAGAUUAGAAUAUGAAAGCUUCUUAUGAAGCUGUGGGUCAAUUUACUACUCUUUCAAAACUUUUAGCAUCUUUUAUAUCCGAGAUUGAUUUGGAUCACCAAGGAUACCAUGAUAUGUCUGUUAUAGUUUAAUAAUCGAAUUGUUUGCGGUAAGAAUAGAGAUCUGAAUGCGCAUCUACAUUGUAUCCUGCCUUGUUGCUGUGGUGGAUCAUUAGUGGUGCAGUAGUUAACCAGUCAUACAUAUUCCCUCUGUAUCACUAUAUGUUUUUUUUACUUGGAUCAUGUCUGGCUUUGGGUUAUGUUUGAGCAUUCCUCAGUGAUUUGCACCUAAUCUGAGUCUUUGUAUUAUUUUGUUUUUCUUUUUGCAUUAUGAUAAUAUGUAAGGAUUAGAUAGGUGGAAGCUUUUUAAACCAUACUGUUUAAACAUGUUCUAGAAAUUGCUAUAUUGGAAGCCUGCAGUUUGCAUUGUACAUAUAUUCCAGUUUCAAUGUUUGUUCAUGGGUCAUAGUGAUUGCCAGCCUGAUGAUUACCUCUACACUAAUAGUGGAGAUGGGAAUACACUUGAUCAUCGAAGCUGGCUUGGCCUCUGUGGUGGAUCAUAUACUCCCUCUGUUCCAAAUAUAUAAGUUAAUCCAGCCAACAUACCUCAGUCUGAUUUUCUUCCACCAAGCUGGCCGAGUUGGCUCUGGUUAAGAUGUGUGUAGACAAAAAGAAAUAUGAAGGCUUUGGCAGGCACGUAUGUGGUGUAUACUACCAGUUCAUUUGGAAGAUUAUUUGUGCAGAACUGCCAUGCAUAGUCCCUUCAAAAUGUUCUGAUUUUGAGUUUAUUAUUGGUGCAUGAUGUACCAGCCUGAUGAUUACAGGUAAUUUCCAUUAAGAAUGAAUAUCUGAAAUUCUGAAUGCACCUCUCCUCUUGAAGGCUGCUUAGCCCCUCUGGUUGAUGGUCUGCUGCUGCUGUUGCUACUAUAACCAGAAGGGACUCAAGUCUUCAUACCCGAGAAUGUAUUGAGUUUUACCACCGCUUUAGGUGUUACUUUGUUACCAAAUUUAAUAGCUAUUUAUAUUUUUGGAUGAAUAUUUGAUGCUAUUAAAUUUGGUAAUACCCAAAGAGGUGGUAACACUGGAUACAUUCUGUGUGUGUGAAAUCAACCAAGCUGGCUAAGUGGGCUCCUUGGAAUGCCAUGUAGACUCAAUGGUGUUAUGAAGGCUAGGCAAAUAUAAGAAUGCUCUUAUUGAACAAUUUUGGUUUAUAACAAAUUUGGAGCUUUUGUUCAAUUUGUGAUCCAUCUGACCAGCUGUUGGAAUUAUGAAGAUUUUCAGGAUCUGGUUCUAAUUUAUAUGCCACUUAGAAUUUGUUGAAGUGAACCAGGGAAUCAGUGAUGUGGGAUGACAACUUAGUCAGGUGAUCUGCUUUGAUGAGAACUAAACCUAAAGUGAUGACCAUUUAUUUAUAGAUGGGUGGAUACUUGUUAAAUUAUGGGUGUAGCUAGGCCUAGUAUAACCAAGUUAUGCGGGCGGUGUUUUAUAGUGCUAGAGCAAAUGCUUUAUAAUGCAUGCUAAGUGUAAAUUUUGCCUAAUUUGCUUGCUGUAUGGUACCGCACCUCCUGAAAUUGGGCACAAGCUCUGCUGCUGAUGUUCUAGAAACUGGCAUACAUGUGUCCUUUCCUGCAAUGAGAAUGUGGAUCUGGAUCCGCUUGUUCGCUGGCCUCUGGUGUAUCAUAUAUUUCAUCUAAUCAUAAUUUUAAGUAUGUACAUCCAUCCAUGCAUAAAUGUCAGUCUGAUUUUGUCACCAGGCUGUCUAAAGUGGUCUACGACAAGAGUUUGUAGAUUAACAAAAUGAAGGCUUUGGCAUGUGCAUAACAUGUCCCUCUAGUACCAUUGCAUAAUGUUCUCGAAGGAAGAUAAUUUCACUACCACAAGUCCAUAUUUCAGCUUGUAGAAAUGCUGAUGUGUAGUGCCUUGAAAAAAAGUUCUAAAUCUGUUUCAUUUGUAAGUGUCCCAAUGGUUUUUCUUUUUUGUUAUGGGGCAGGCAUUCUUGUAUACCAGCCUGAUGAUUAUGAUGUUUGCAUUAAGAACGGAGAUCAGAAUGCACUUCUCUCCUGCGUGUUUGAGAAAAAAAAAGCUACUGCCUUCUUGGCCCUUGGCUCUUUCUGUCUCUCGUCUCUUGCUGCUGCUGCUGCUGGCUACCUGCCUGUGUGUGUGUGGAUGUGUGUGAUUCUUCAUCAAACAAGGUGGCCAAGUGA